rnacentral:tRNA from 1 species
GUAACUCAGUGGUAGAGUGCUUGCCUUGCAUGCAUGAGGCCCUGAGGUCAAUUCCUCAGC